UAGUCCACGCCGUAAACGAUGAGUGCUAGAUGUUGGGAAUUUUAUUUUCAGUGUCACAGUUAACGCGUUAAGCACUCCGCCUGGGGAGUACGGCCGCAAGGUUAAAACUUAAAGGAAUUGACGGGGACCCGCACAAGCGGUGGAGCAUGUUGUUUAAUUCGAAGAUACGCGAAGAACCUUACCUAGGCUUGACAUGCAGGGGACAGGUGUAGAAAUACACCCUUCUUCGGACUCCUGUACAGGUGCUGCAUGGCUGUCGUCAGCUCGUGUCGUGAAAUGUUAGGUUAAGUCCUGCAACGAGCGCAACCCCUAUCUUUAGUUGCCAUCAGGUAAUGCUGGGGACUCUAGAGAGACUGCCGGUGAUAAACCGGAGGAAGGUGGGGACGACGUCAAGUCAGCAUGGCCCUUACGCCUAGGGGCUACACACGUGCUACAAUGGUCGGGUACAGUGGGGCAGGCAAUACAGUGAUGUGGAGCGAAU
rnacentral:rRNA from 1 species